AAAAAGAAAUAUUAUUUAGACAAACAUAGUUGAUUAAAUAGACAUAUUUAGUUUAAAAGACUACUACAAACUUAAUGUAAGAAAUAUGAAAUUAAUAAAAUUACGUAUGGAAAUGGUCAAAGUAUAAUAGAAUUUUUAUUAUUUAAAGUCUUGUUUGAAUACAAUCGUAUAACGUCCGUUUACCGUUUUACCGAUGCAAAUUGCAAAGUGUUAUAUAACGUCUAUCCUGACAUAAUUCUGGUUAACUACAUGUUCUUCGCGAAGGCGAUUGAAAAUUACAUGAAUUGCAUGUAUAUUUCAAUCGCUUUCGCCUCCUCCUGUCAUCCAGUAAGGACCGAGCUAAUAGAAUUAUAGGGUUUGUUUACAUAACACGAUAAGCCAUAUUUGUAAUAUCUCUAGAUAAUAUAUUUCUCGUUUGGCUACGAAAUCUUGCAAAGCAAAUCUAACUAUAUAACAUUUUUGUUUUUCAUAUUUUGUUCUUUUUUUUUUAUUCCAUGUUUUUUUUAAAUGUUUUUUUUUUUUAAUGUUUUUUUUUUAUUUUUUUCUAUUCCUUUUUGUGCCACCAUGCCUAUUCUACUUAAAACUAAACCCUAAAACGAUAAAACAAGUAUGUAAGCCGGCCAAGGCCCAAAACUCCAUCCCGACUACCCACUAUCAAGUGCCGAUUGAAGUCACCAAAACUGGUUCUCCUACUUCUCCCAUCAGUUCGGUCCCGUUCGGCCACAGCGCUACUGAACCGAAGGAGCUCUGCUCCGCCUUGGGCCAUGACGUACCGAUAUCUAAAAAGAGAAAUGCCUCUGGUGGAAUGAAGCCGCUCAAGAGUGCACUUUCAAAAUACUCGUCGUUCGGAUAGAACACCCCGAAAAUUAAAUUGUUGGUCGAAGACAUAGCUCUUGCAAAGUGACCUCGAACGAGUUUUAUCACGAAAUUGUCAAAUCUGUUGAUUCGAGCCCCGUUGUAUAGGACCUCGUUGGAAUAGUAAUGCACAUAAGAAGAUUCGGCUGUUCGAUAUAAGCCGGUACAGCGCCGUAAACACUGUCGCUCGAACACCCGAAACUUCUCCAUCUGGGAAGGGGCAACGUUGAACCACACAGGACAACCAUAAACGAUCAUUGGCCGAAUGAGGGCCAUCUGGCAAAUUACCUUCACUCUGGGGUCAAGCCGACUGCUAAAAAACAGCCGUUUCGUCAGAGCAGCAUUUAUAUGUCUUUCGAAAUUUAAAUACUGAUCUAACCAGAUACCGAGGUACUUCACUACAGUUCUGCUCGCUAGUCGCUGCCCGUGAAGAUCAACGAUGACCAUCUUGUGCCAAUUCUUGCACAUAUCCCCCGUAGCUCUAGCCAACGGAGUCCGGAACAGAAUUGUCUUUGACUUCUGGACAUUUAUUUUCAGUUUGCAGUCGUCGCAAUAUCGCUGAAUCUUGUCGAAAUCACGCUGCAGGAGAAUUCUAAUAACCUCAACCUUUCGAGCCGUUCUGUACGCAACUUUCUACCGUUAAGCAUAUCAUAAAGUAUAUAGGGGAUCGGGGGGCUAGUUGUAACAGGGCACAGUCAGUAUCCCACUGGACGUCAUAGGAAGCGGCUGUGUGCAUGCGCUCUGAUAAGAAUGAGACACUACAAAAGAAAAACUGCACGUGCUACCCAAAGCCAAGAUGUUUUCGAAUUGGCCUCUGUUAAAGUCUUGGAAAAUAAGACCAGUCUACGAAAUGCUGCUAAGGAGUUUAAUUUAUGUCAUGUAUCGCUAUCUAGACAUUUGAAAAAGAAGAAGAAUGGUAAAACUUUAUCAGUGGGCUAUGUCAAACCCAGAUUGGUUUUUCAAGAGGAAGAAGAAGCUAAAAUAUCUGAGUACUUGGUUAAUUGCUCCAAUAUUUACUUUGGAUUGUUGCCUUUGGAAGUCAGAAAAUUGGCAUACCAGUGUGCUAUUGUGAUUAAAGCGAAAAACCUACCUCCGUCAUGGCGUGAAAAUAAAUUAGCUGGAUCCGAUUGGUUCAAAAAUUGUAUGGUCCGAAUCGGAAUCUGAACCUGAGGAAUGGUUUUGUUUAGCUUGUGGAGAAACUUAUGAAAACUCAAACGUGGAGUGGAUACAAUGCAAUAUGUCUAAGAUGUGGGCACAUUUAAAAUGUGCAACGGGAAAUAAGAUCUCAUUUGUGUGUCUCAAUUGUAAUUCCGAUGAUAACAACUGAUUUUAGGGCUAUGAGCCUAAACUUCCUUUUAAUUUUAAGAAAGAAUAUAUUUUUGUUAAUUUUUGUUUACUUUUGUUUUGUUUGUUAAAAAUGAAGUUCCUUUUAAGUUUAAGAAUGAAUAUUUUUUGUUAAUUUUUGUAUACUUUUGUGUUAGGUUAAACAUUAAAAAUGAAGUUCCUUUUAAGUUUAAGAAUGAAUAUGUUUUUGUUUAUUUUUGUAUACUUUUUUACCUAAUCUUUGAGCGUGUCCGAAGUCUUUCACGCAAAAUAAAACUUUAUAAAAUAUAAAACUGGUCUUUUAUUCCUC